AUCAACUUUCGAUGGUAGGAUAGAGGCCUACCAUGGUGGUAACGGGUAACGGGGUGUUAGGGCACGACACCGGAGAGGGAGCCUGAGAAACGGCUACCACAUCCAAGGAUGGCAGCAGGCGCGCAAAUUACCCAAUCCCGACACGGGGAGGUAGUGACAAUAAAUAACAAUACGGGGUCCUUUCGGGUUUCGUAAUUGGAAUGAGUACAAUUUAAAUCUCUUAACGAGGAACAAUUGGAGGGCAAGUCUGGUGCCAGCAGCCGCGGUAAUUCCAGCUCCAAUAGCGUAUAUUAAAGUUGUUGCAGUUAAAAAGCUCGUAGUUGAAUUUCGGGACUAGUACGCUGGUCGUGCCUUCGGUAUGUACUGGUGUUACUGGUUCCUACCUUCUGACGAACCGUCAUGUCAUUAAUUUGGUGUGGCGGGAAAUCAGGACUGUUACUUUGAAAAAAUUAGAGUGUUUAAAGCAGGCUCGCGCUUGAAUACAUUAGCAUGGAAUAAUGAAAUAGGACGUUCGAUCCUAUUUUGUUGGUUUCUAGGAUUGACGUAAUGAUUAAUAGGGAUAGUUGGGGGCAUUAGUAUUCAAUUGUCAGAGGUGAAAUUCUUGGAUUUAUUGAAGACUAACUACUGCGAAAGCAUUUGCCAAGGAUGUUUUCAUUAAUCAAGAACGAAAGUUAGGGGAUCGAAGACGAUCAGAUACCGUCGUAGUCUUAACCAUAAACUAUGCCGACUAGGGAUCGGAUGAUGUUAAUUUUUUAAUGACUCAUUCGGCGCCUUACGGGAAACCAAAGUGUUUGGGUUC
rnacentral:rRNA from 1 species